rnacentral:rRNA from 1 species
GAUGAACGCUAGCUACAGGCUUAACACAUGCAAGUCGAGGGGCAGCAUGUCGGUUGCUUGCAACCGAUGAUGGCGACCGGCGCACGGGUGAGUAACGCGUAUCCAAUAUACCCUUGUCCAUCGGAUAACCCGUCGAAAGGCGGCCUAACACGAUAUGCGGUUCACAGCAGGCAUCCAACGUGAACGAAAUGUGAAGGAGAAGGAUGGGGAUGCGUCUGAUUAGCUUGUUGGCGGGGUAACGGCCCACCAAGGCUACGAUCAGUAGGGGUUCUGAGAGGAAGGUCCCCCACAUUGGAACUGAGACACGGUCCAAACUCCUACGGGAGGCAGCAGUGAGGAAUAUUGGUCAAUGGACGAGAGUCUGAACCAGCCAAGUAGCGUGCAGGAUGACGGCCCUAUGGGUUGUAAACUGCUUUUAUAGGGGGAUAAAGUGUGCCACGUGUGGCAUAUUGCAGGUACCCUAUGAAUAAGGACCGGCUAAUCCCGUGCCAGCCGCCGCUGUAAGAC